rnacentral:lncRNA from 1 species
AAAAUUAGCCUGGCGUGGUGGCGCACGCCUGUAAUCCCAGCUACUAGGGGGGCUGAGGCAGGAGAAUUGCUUGAACUCGGGAGGCAGAGGUUGCAGUAAGCUGAGAUCCCGUCACUGUAAUCCAGCCUGGGCCACAGAGAGAGGCUCCGUCCGAAAAAAAAAAAAAAAAAAAAGACGAAAAUGGCGAAGUAUGAUCUCCCAUACACUCCACCAGAGAAGGGAAGAAAGCCUCAGAUGGGCAUGCAUAUAACUCCCUAAACACACUGCGCAUGUUCAAUUCCAAAGGAUACAGAAAGCACUGCGCAUGUGGAAGCCCCACGCUAAGGGAGGAAUUACAGGAAAGAGGCAAGCUUAUAAAAAAAAAAGUCCUAGGAUCCGCCGACGUGGUGGCUCAACGCCUGUAAUCCCAGCACUCUGGGAGGCUUAGGCAGGCGGAUCACGAGGUCAGGAGUUCAAACCAGCCUGGCCAACAUGAUGAAACCCCGUCUCUACUAAAAAUACAAAAAUUAACUGUGUGGUGGCGCGUGACUGUAAUCCCAGCUACUGGGGAGGCUGAGGCAGGAGAAUUGCUUGAACCCGAGAGCCGGAGGUUGCAGGGAGCCGA